rnacentral:rRNA from 1 species
GACGAACGCUGGCGGCGUGCUUAACACAUGCAAGUCGAACGGAAAGGCCCUGCUUGUGUGGGGUGCUCGAGUGGCGAACGGGUGAGUAGCACGGGAGUAACCUGCCCUUGACUUUGGGAUAACUUCAGGAAACUGGGGCUAAUACCGGAUAGGAGCUCCUGCUGCAUGGUGGGGGUUGGAAAGUUUCGGUGGAUGGGGAUGGACUCGGGGCUUAUGAGCUUGUGGGUGGGGUAGUGGCUUACCGAGGCUUUGACUGAUAGGCGGCCUGAGAGGGUGACCGGGGACCAUGGGACUGCGGUACGGACCAGAGUGCAACGGUAGGCAGCAGUGGGGAAUAUUGUCCAAUCGUGGGAAGCGUGAUGAAGAAAUGCUGCGUUUGGGAAGACGGUUAUCGUGUGGUAAAGCGCAGUAGCUUGUUACCAUGCGUGAGUGACGUUAAUGAGAAAAGAAGCACCGGCUAACUACGUG